rnacentral:rRNA from 1 species
GUGGGGAAUAUUGCACAAUGGGGGAAACCCUGAUGCAGCGACGCCGCGUGAGCGAAGAAGUAUUUCGGUAUGUAAAGCUCUAUCAGCAGGGAAGAAACUGACGGUACCUGACUAAGAAGCACCGGCUAAAUACGUGCCAGCAGCCGCGGUAAUACGUAUGGUGCAAGCGUUAUCCGGAUUUACUGGGUGUAAAGGGAGCGUAGACGGCCGUGUAAGUCUGAAGUGAAAGCCCGGGGCUCAACCCCGGGACUGCUUUGGAAACUAUGCGGCUGGAGUAUCGGAGAGGCAAGUGGAAUUCCCAGUGUAGCGGUGAAAUGCGUAGAUAUUGGGAGGAACACCAGUGGCGAAGGCGGCUUGCUGGACGAUCACUGACGUUGAGGCUCGAAAGCGUGGGGAGCAAACAGG